UAUUUGCCGCAUGUGGAUCUCCUGGUCCGAUGUUGCCACUGCUUCCUGCCACCCGAGCCCGCUGGUAAUCACUCACGGUUAGUUCAUGUUCCCACAUGAAUGAGAGCGCUGUGGCCCAUCUAUUUGAUUAGGGCAAGAUGAAAACGUCAAAGCUCCCUUGAGGAACAGGGAGCAGGUUCAAUACAUCGAUCUCAAAUCGGAAAGGCAAUCCUCUGCGCGCCGGCCUUGUUUGUCUUAAAGAUAUGUGUUAUGACGUCAGCUCGGUGUGAACUCCUCGGAGGCAAAAGACGUGAGCGUGGAGCCCUGUGCGGCCCCGACCGCAGAGGGGACUCGGGGCCCAGAGGGGCACGUUGAGGUGUUUAGGGACCUCGCAGCUGUCCUCCGAAGGUCAGAUGACAUAACGUGUUUGAAACUGUCCAGGAAGAAGCCAGACGCCAAGGCCGCAGCAGCACGGGCUAUGUGCGAGUACUGGUGCGCGAGUACCACUGUGCGAGUACAACUGUGCGAGUACCACUGUGCGAGUACCGGUGCGCGAGUACCACUGUGCGGGAGUAUCACUGUGCGAGUACCACUGUGCGAGUACCACUGUGUGAGUACCACUGUGCGAGUACCACUGUGCGAGUACUGGUGCGUGAGUACCGGUGCAUGAGUACCGGUGCGCGAGGACCAAGCACCAUGUGCUUCCUUCACCUAAAUUUUGACACAGCGACCACCUGCUUCACACAAGGAAACAAUUGGAGAGGAAAAAGCAAAGAGAUGCACAGACCAAGUCUUACCUUUUUUUGGGAAUUCUUUCUACAAAUAUAAUUGUAGGAAGUAAGCCGUCUUUGUUAUUCAAAUUCUAUCAGAGUUUAAGAAAUUCUUGAGAUUUGGUGCAGUUUUCUUUAUUAGAUCACAUCUGCAUAUUUAUUAAUUUCUCUCAGUUUAUGGUAUCUUGUCCCUUGAAGCACUUACUCCUUCUAGAAAGGAGUUUUAGAUUUUUUAUUUGAAAAUCUUUCCUGAAAUAACGGGUUUGUUGUUGGACUUCCUUCCGCUUUUAUUUCUAGAGUUCAAAAACCGUAAAAUUUCUUGGUGGCUGUUGAUUUCUUUGCAGGUUGGUUCUGUGUACAGGGUCAGGUGUGUUGUCGGAUGUCUAGAGGGGAGGCACGAAUCGGCAGAUCCAAGCACAGGGAAAGGGGCACCCCACGGAGGGCGAGGAUGAUCAACGGAGCAAAGAACGAGAUGCUGUUUCCUGGCUUCGGGACUUACUGGUGUCACUAUACUUUACAAGGACACAGAAUUGGUUUUAUUUAUAACCCUCUCAUUUGGCAGAUAAUAAACACUGUGAUGUAUUUCUGCUAUUAGACUGACAUUUUUAUUUUUGAUGAGGAUGGGAAAGAAUAAGUAUUUAAAGAUAGAAUUGUAUCAGCUGUCAUAUCUUCACAUUUUCCUCCGUGUAUAUUAUAAUCUGUUUGAUACUUAGUAGCUUCAUAUCUGACAUCUGGUUUUCUUCAGUGACACUAUUUGACCAAUAAUCAAAGAAAACUCUGCUAUGAUUUCUUUUUUAGAGCGAGCAUAAUGAAGACUUUAGUUUUGAACAUAAGGUCAAGAAAUGUCAAGUACAGAUCAUCAAAUUAAAAGUAAUUAAAUUAAUAGCAUGAGGAGGCUAAAAAUACUUCUGCCCAACACUGGAAAACUAAUAGGGCCACGAAGUCAUCAGAUGAGAAAAGUGUUAAUAUAAUGGAACACAUUUCAAAUAAUUCAAAGCACAAAUGAGAAUGGGAAGGAGAAGAAAUAGGCAAGCCGCGCAUUUAAGAUGGAACUGUACAAGAGAAGGCCUAGAAAUGCCCAUAUCUUCUUUGUGACAGUCCUAGGACAUUCAUCCCUGGAAAUCACCCCUGUAGAUAGGAAACACGGAAGACUGUCCUGUAUCAUAACAUCUGGGUACUGACCAGCCUCUUUCCCCAAACUGAGUGGGACUAACAGGCCAACCUCCCGCCGUCUCUGAGCCUGCUGUGUGGCCCGAGUGGGAUGCAGUUACUGUGCCCAUAUUUUGUUGAGGGACAGUCAACCCCUCCUGGCCCAAGCCCAGCCCGUUGCAGGCAGAAGUCUGGAGAUGUUCUCAGUAGAGAGGUUAGGAGCGGCCCCUAGACCCAAACCUAGUUUAGCCCCGAGUUCAGUCUUUCCCUGCUCCUCUGCAGAAUGGGGCGAUUACUGCCCUGUACUGUAUUUGUUCAGUUAGGUGAAACUCAUACUGCAGGAAAGCACCGGUUUUGAAGACUUAACACAUUCACAUUGGUGUGAACCCACCACCUGUUUCUGGACCUAAAGCAUCUUCAACACCGGCCUUCUUCUGUCUCUGGACCUAUGUGCUUAGGAGAUUUCACGUAAGUAGGAUCAUUCAGAAUGUGACCUUUCACUCAGCAUAGUGUUUUCAGGAUUGGGCCAUGUUGUAGCAGGUAUCUGUCCUUUUGUUCCUUUUCGUGGCCAAGUAAUGUUCCAGGGAUUGGAUGGACCACGUUUUGCAUACAUGUUCCUCGUGGGUGGGCGCCUGGGUCAUUUCCACCUUUGGCUGUCGUGGGCAGUGCUGCUGAGGUUAUGAGUGUGCAGGGAC